GGAUUGGUAACAUAGAGGUCUAUGUGUCGCUCUGAAAAAGCGAAGAUGUUGGUUCGAUACCAGCCCAGUCCA
rnacentral:tRNA from 1 species